GUCCAGGGUUGCCAGGUGGUCAUGGCAUCUGCCCGGUAAGCGGAAGGUCGUGGGUUCGAUUCCCAUCCCUUGACA